rnacentral:rRNA from 1 species
UACGUAGGGGGCUAGCGUUGUCCGGAUUUAUUGGGCGUAAAGAGCGUGUAGGCAGCCAGGUAGGUCUGCUGUGAAAACUCGAGGCUCAACCUCGAGAUGUCGGCGGAAACCAUCUGGCUAGAGUCCGGAAGAGGAGAGUGGAAUUCCUGGUGUAGCGGUGAAAUGCGCAGAUAUCAGGAAGAACACCCGUGGCGAAGGCGGCUCUCUGGGACGGUACUGACGCUGAGACGCGAAAGCGUGGGGAGCGAACAGG